GAUGAACGCUGGCGGCGUGCCUAAUACAUGCAAGUCGAGCGAACGGACGAGAAGCUUUCUUCUCUGAUGUUAGCGGCUGACGGGUGAGUAACACGUGGAUCACCUACCUCUAAGACUUGGAUAACUUCGUGAAACCGGAGCUACUACCGGAUAAUAUUUUGAACCGCAUGGUUCAAAAGUUCAAGACGGUCUUGCUGUCACUUAUAGAUGGAUCCGCGCUGCCUUAGCUAGUUGGUAAGGUAACGGCUUACCAAGGCAACGAUGCAUAGCCGACCUGAGAGGGGGAUAGGCCACACUGGAAAUGAGACACGGUCCAGACUCCUACGGGAGGCAGAAGUAGGGAAUCUUCAGCAAUGGGCGAAAGCCUGACGGAGCAACGCAGCGUGAGUGAGGAAGGUCUUCGGAUAGUAAAAAUCUGUUAUGAGGGAAGAACAUAUGUGUAAGUAAAUGUGCACAUCUUGACGGUACAUAAUCAGAAAGACAAGGCUAACUACGUG
rnacentral:rRNA from 1 species